rnacentral:lncRNA from 10 species
GGAAGAGAGAGCCUCAGGCCUAAGUGAGAACACUGCAAUAGAUCUAAAGAUGGGGCAGUUGGAGGCUAUCAGCCAACUAUGCUCCCUUAAAGGGUCAUCUGAAUGGUGCACCUUCGUGGCCACAACAAGGAGUUACUCUGAGGGAAAGAUAGGUACUUUCAACUGAACAUUCAUGAAGAUUACUCUAAUGAGGUGACAACGUUUGAGCAGAGAACCAGAUGGCUAGAAGGAACCAUGUUUGGAGGAAGAAGAUUCCAGUGCCUUUCAAUGUUGAAUACAAGGGCAACAGCCCUAGGGUGGAAUGGAAGUUGACUUGAUCAAGGAACUCAAAGGUUAGUUUGACUGAAGUGGAGAUGAGAGAGGUAGGAGAUCAGGGAGGCGAGGGCUGCAAGGUAGGCAGGAACCAGAUCCUAUAGAGCUGUGCAGGCCAUUCAGGUGGAGGGAAUUUUUUCUACUUUGGAAUUUGUAAACCUCAGUUUCUUCUUCAACACUGGAGAUAUUAGAAGUGUUGUGUUAAGUAAGGUAACUCAUAACACAGUUCCAGGCACAUCAUGUGCUCAUAAUUAUAGUGCAUUUUUCUUUCUGUUUUGUCAGAUCCAAGAAUAAG